AUAGUGAGUGUGAGAGAGAUAGUGAGUGUGAGAGAUAAGUAGUGAGAGAGAGAGAGAUAGUGAGUGUGUGAGAGAGAUAGUGAGUGUGAGAGAGAGAGAUAGUGAGUGUGAGAGAGAGAUAGUGAGUGUGAGAGAGAGAUAUGAGUGUGAGAGAGAGAGAUAGUGAGUGUGAGAGAGAGAGAUAGUGAGUGUGAGAGAGAGAUAGUGAGUAAUUCUAUUACGGCUGGAAGAUAUAAUGUUGAUAAUAUCGUCACGUCUGUAACACUGAUACUGAGUAACACCUUCAUUGUUCCUCACUAAUUACUAAGGAAUGAAGCACGACAGGUGUGCUAAUAUACACAAACUAACCGACGACUAUUUUCCUACACCGGCA
ensembl:lncRNA